UUCAUAGAUAGGGGUUAGGUUAUCUCAUAACUAUGUGGGCGGAAGCGAGAGGGAGGGGAAUGCCUACGUCACUCGUACGACAAAGUCAAGUUUGACAGUUGUUUGAGGUUAUAAUUCCGUAUAUUUUUGUGGAAUUUUCUUAUAAUAUCGUUUAUUUGUUUAAUAUUUGUUGAGUUUUUAAGCAUAUAAGGACAAUAUUACUAUAAUUACUUAUUUGGGUCCUAUACAAAGGCAGUAAUGACUUGUGAAGUGUGUUUUCGUAACCGUGUAAAAUGAGUGGUGGUAACAUUUGUAGCAUAGCUAUAUGUAAAAGCAACUCCAAAAUUCCUGAACCAGAUGGAAACACAAUAAUGUUUUUGGACAUUUCCCAAAUACCUUAACAUUAUCAAACAAUAAUGGAAAAUAAAAUGUUACAAGAUAAAUGGGCCUCUAAACAUAAGAAAAUAGGUAGCAAACAUGUCCUCGUGUCUGAAUAUGUUAAUAUUAUGUUACGUCUUUUUUAUAUUUUAACCUAAUAAUAAAUUAUUUAUAUUA